rnacentral:rRNA from 1 species
GCAGCCGCCGCGGGAAUACGUAGGUGGCAAGCGUUGUCCGGAAUUAUUGGGCGUAAAGGGCUCGCAGGCGGUUUCUUAAGUCUGAUGUGAAAGCCCCCGGCUCAACCGGGGAGGGUCAUUGGAAACUGGGAAACUUGAGUGCAGAAGAGGAGAGUGGAAUUCCACGUGUAGCGGUGAAGUGCGUAGAGAUGUGGAGGAACACCAGUGGCGAAGGCGACUCUCUGGUCUGUAACUGACGCUGAGGAGCGAAAGCGUGGGGAGCGAACAGGAUUAGAUACCCCCGUAGUCCCUGUCUCUUAUAC